rnacentral:misc_RNA from 1 species
GUAUUAUAACUUUUAUGGGCAUCAAAGACCCAGAUCAACAUUCUAUUACAUUCAUAGGAGUGUGUGUGAAGAACAUAGAACCCCAGAAAAGAGACAAGGAAAAGCUGGCACAAGGCACGGCAGUCCCCAAAUUCCAAGGUCUACAAAAAGGGUGCACAGGUGGAAAAAUAAAUGACAAGCGUGCACACUACCCUACAAGGGCCAGCAACAGCCUAUCAAAUGUUUUAUUCAAUAAUGAUCCUUCCGCAGGUUCACCUACGGAAA